rnacentral:lncRNA from 1 species
GCAAGAGGGAAGGAAUUUGAAAUCCAUGCGGCAAGGUAAAACACUUCAUAAUUUCGAAAUCACCUCUUGAAAUUCGAAUUUAAUCCAUUCAAAAACUCAGACGCCACCUUGGCUGAUGGUUUGAGUGAUUAAAAUCAUUGAACACAUUGCUUAAUGUUUGAAUUUAAAUUCAAAUAACAAACAAUGUCGCCAUGUGUCAAGCAAUGGGUCCAUGUGCCAUGCAAUAAUUUUGGUUUAUUCACCAAUAAUUGCCACAUCAUCUGAGCCUAAUCCCCUUGGGUUGCACCUAAUCAAAUUUGGUCAAACCCGAAUUAAAACAAAGCAAUUUGGUUGAACCCAAUCUAAUCAGGUCAGACCCUCAUUGAGCUCAAAUUGAAUCCAAUUCAAUUUUGGCUCAUGCAAACUCAAUCAAAUUGAAUUAUUACUUUGUGUUGGACCUAAUUCAAUUAGGUCAAUCUCCAAUUAA